AUCAACGCUGGCGGCGCUGCUCAGACAUGCAAGUCGAACGAGAACCGUUCCCUUCGGGGACCGGGUAAAGCGGCGAACGGGUGAGUAACACGUAGGUAAUCUCCCUCGGGAUCGGGAAUAACGCCGGGGAAACCUGCGAUUAACACCGCAAUGGCGGCACCUCAUGGUUCGACAGUUCGUAAGGAGGGAUCUUCGGACCUCGCGCCUGAGAGGAGCCCUACGGCAGGAUUAGCUUAGUUGGUAGGGGUAACGGCCUACCAAGGCGAACGAUCCGUAGCUGGCCUGAGAGGACGAUCAGGCCACACUGGACACUGAGACAUACGGUCCAGACUCCUACGGGAGGCAGCAGUGGGGAAUCUUGCGGCAAUGGGCGAAAGCCUGACCAGCGAACGCCGCGUGAGGGAUGAAUGCCUUCGGGAUUGUAAACCUCUUGCAAGAAGGGACGAAGCGCACGCGGUGAAUAGCCCAGUAGUGAUGACGGUACCCAUAGUAAGCUCCGGCUAACUACGUGCCAGCAGCCGCGGUAAUACGGAGGGGGCAAGCGUUGUCCGGAUUUAUUGGGCGUAAAGAGCGUGUAGGCGGCCAGAUAGGUCCGUUGUGAAAACUGGAGGCUUAACCUCCAGCGGUCGAUGGAAACCAUUUGGCUAGAGUCCGGAAGAGGAGAGUGGAAUUCCUGGUGUAGCGGUGAAAUGCGCAGAUAUCAGGAAGAACACCCGUGGCGAAGGCGGCUCUCUGGGACGGUACUGACGCUGAGACGCGAAAGCGUGGGGAGCGAACAGGAUUAGAUACCCUGGUAGUCCACGCCGUAAACGAUGGGUGCUAGGUGUGGGCGGUGUCGACUCCGUCCGUGCCGAAGCUAACGCAUUAAGCACCCCGCCUGGGGAGUACGGCCGCAAGGCUAAAACUCAAAGGAAUUGACGGGGGCCCGCACAAGCAGCGGAGCAUGUUGUUUAAUUCGACGCGACGCGAAGAACCUUACCAAGGCUUGACAUGCACGGGAAUGUCGUAGAAAUACGGCAGCCCUUCGGGGCUCGUGCACAGGUGGUGCAUGGCUGUCGUCAGCUCGUGUCGUGAGAUGUUGGGUUAAGUCCCGCAACGAGCGCAACCCCUGUCCCAUGUUGCCAGCGUGAAAGACGGGGACUCAUGGGAGACUGCCGGUGACAAAUCGGAGGAAGGUGGGGAUGACGUCAAGUCAUCAUGCCCCUUAUGUCUUGGGCUACAAACGUGCUACAUUGGCCGGUACAAAGGGCUGCAAACCUGCGAGGGUGAGCGAAUCCCAAAAAGCCGGUCCCGGUUCGGAUUGGAGGCUGAAACUCGCCUCCAUGAAGGCGGAGUUGCUAGUAAUCGCGGAUCAGCAACGCCGCGGUGAAUAUGUUCCCGGGCCUUGUACACACCGCCCGUCACACCACGAAAGUUGGCAAUACCCGAAGCCGGUGGCCUAACCCGCAAGGGAGGGAGCCGUCGAAGGUAGGGUUGAUGAUUGGGGUG
rnacentral:rRNA from 1 species